rnacentral:rRNA from 1 species
AUUGAACGCUGGCGGCAGGCCCAACACAUGCCAGUCGAGCGGAUGAAGGGAGCUUGCUCCUGGAUUCAGCGGCGGACGGGUGAGUAAUGCCUAGGAAUCUGCCUGGUAGUGGGGGAUAACGUCCGGAAACGGGCGCUAAUACCGCAUACGUCCUGAGGGAGAAAGUGGGGGAUCUUCGGACCUCACGCUAUCAGAUGAGCCUAGGUCGGAUUAGCUAGUUGGUGGGGUAAAGGCCUACCAAGGCGACGAUCCGUAACUGGUCUGAGAGGAUGAUCAGUCACACUGGAACUGAGACACGGUCCAGACUCCUACGGGAGGCAGCAGUGGGGAAUAUUGGACAAUGGGCGAAAGCCUGAUCCAGCCAUGCCGCGUGUGUGAAGAAGGUCUUCGGAUUGUAAAGCACUUUAAGUUGGGAGGAAGGGCAGUAAGUUAAUACCUUGCUGUUUUGACGUUACCAACAGAAUAAGCACCGGCUAACUUCGUG